UACGUAGGGUGCAAGCGUUAAUCGGAAUUACUGGGCGUAAAGCGUGCGCAGGCGGUUGUGCAAGACAGAUGUGAAAUCCCCGGGCUCAACCUGGGAAUUGCAUUUGUGACUGCACGGCUAGAGUGUGUCAGAGGGGGGGUAGAAUUCCACGUGUAGCAGUGAAAUGCGUAGAGAUGUGGAGGAAUACCGAGUGGCGAAGGCAGCCCCCUGGGAUAACACUGACGCUCAUGCACGAAAGCGUGGGGAGCAAACAGG
rnacentral:rRNA from 1 species